CGCGUGGAGGAUGAAGGUCUUCGGAUUGUAAACUCCUGUUGCCCGGGACGAAAAGCUUCGACCUAACACGUCGANGUCUGACGGUACCGGGUGAGGAAGCCCCGGCUAACUCUGUGCCAGCAGCCGCGGUAAUACANAGGGGGCAAGCGUUGUUCGGAAUUACUGGGCGUAAAGGGCGCGUANNCGGCCCGCUAAGUCUAACGUGAAAUCCCCGGGCUCNACCCGGGAACUGCGUCCGAUACUGGCAGGCUUGAAUCCGGGAGAGGGAUGGGGAAUUCCANGUGUAGCGGUGAAAUGCGUAAAUAUCUGGAGGAACACCGGUGGCNAAGGCGNCAUCCUGG
rnacentral:rRNA from 1 species